GUGUCAGCAGCCGCGGUAAUACGGAGGGGGUUAGCGUUGUUCGGAAUUACUGGGCGUAAAGCGCGCGUAGGCGGAUUGGAAAGUUGGGGGUGAAAUCCCGGGGCUCAACCCCGGAACUGCCUCCAAAACUUCCAGUCUGGAGUUCGAGAGAGGUGAGUGGAAUUCCGAGUGUAGAGGUGAAAUUCGUAGAUAUUCGGAGGAACACCAGUGGCGAAGGCGGCUCACUGGCUCGAUACUGACGCUGAGGUGCGAAAGUGUGGGGAGCAAACAGGAUUAGAUACCCUGGUAGUCCACACCGUAAACGAUGAAUGCCAGUCGUCGGCAAGCAUGCUUGUCGGUGACACACCUAACGGAUUAAGCAUUCCGCCUGGGGAGUACGGCCGCAAGGUUAAAACUCAAAUGAAUUGGCGGGG
rnacentral:rRNA from 1 species